GUCUGCUGUACCAUGUAGUAACGUAGUGAGAGAGAGAGGGGGGUCUGCUGUACCAUGUAGUAACCUAGUGAGAGAGAGGGGUCUGCUGUACCAUGUAGUAACCUAGUGAGAGAGAGAUGUCUGCUGUACCAUGUAGUAACCUAGUGAGAGAGAGG